UGGGGAAUAUUGCACAAUGGGCGAAAGCCUGAUGCAGCAACGCCGCGUGAGUGAUGAAGGCCUUCGGGUUGUAAAGCUCUGUCUUCUGGGACGAUAAUGACGGUACCAGAGGAGGAAGCCACGGCUAACUACGUGCCAGCAGCCGCGGUAAUACGUAGGUGGCAAGCGUUGUCCGGAUUUACUGGGCGUAAAGGAUGCGUAGGCGGAUACUUAAGUCAGAUGUGAAAAUCCCGGGCUUAACUUGGGAACUGCAUUUGAAACUGGGUAUCUAGAGUGCGGGAGAGGAUAGUGGAAUUCCUAGUGUUGCGGUGAAAUGCGUAGAGAUUAGGAAGAACACCAGUGGCGAAGGCGACUUUCUGGACCGUAACUGACGCUGAGGCAUGAAAGCGU
rnacentral:rRNA from 1 species